AACUAGAUAUGAAAAGAGAGAUAUGCGUCAACAUACCCCUCUUUAGAAUAGAACCGUUAAAGACGGCAGCUACUAUAGAACUUAAUACAAA
rfam:Carnobacterium inhibens subsp. gilichinskyi strain WN1359, complete genome.